UAAGGAAUAUUGGUCAAUGGGCGGAAGCCUGAACCAGCCAUGCCGCGUGCAGGACGACUGCCCUAUGGGUUGUAAACUGCUUUUGUUCAGGCAUAAACCUAAAUACGUGUAUUUAGCUGAAUGUACUGGAAGAAUAAGGAUCGGCUAACUCCGUG
rnacentral:rRNA from 1 species